UAGGGCGCGAGCGUUGUCCGGAUUUAUUGGGCGUAAAGAGCUCGUAGGCGGCUCGUUGCGUCCGCUGUGAAAACCCGCAGCUCAACUGUGGGCUUGCAGCUGAUACGGGCGGGCUAGAAUUCGGUAGGGGAGACUGGAAUUCCUGGUGUAGCGGUGAAAUGCGCAGAUAUCAGGAGGAACACCGGUGGCGAAGGCGGGUCUCUGGGCCGAUAGUGACGCUGAGGAGCGAAAGCGUGGGGAGCGAACAGG
rnacentral:rRNA from 1 species